AACAUGGAGAUGGCGAUGCAGGAUAUGUAUGAUUAAUAUACAUCAAAGUGCUACAGCUGGGAAAUUGGACCUGAGAAAUGCUUAGCAGAAAAUACAAAAGACAUACCAAGGAUUCGUGGAGGCUGGGCCAUAUAGGAUGUUUUUUAUGUGAGUACUGGGUGGUGCCUUUGUGCUUGUAUUGUGCAAGUUACUAGUACCUUAACUGCAGCAGGUGCUGGUGCCUAAUUUGGGCUAUGCUCUGUUCGAUUAGUGCUCUGUUCUAUGCUACCCCUACUGCAGCUGCUAGAACAAUGGUAUGAUUCUGUGUUCUCUGAUCCUUGGAUAUACUGUGUGCUGCUGCUAGUAAUGCUAAGAAAUUACCAAGUGACUUAUUGCAUACCAACUUUGAGUUUCAGGAACUUCAAAGAGGUGCUAGGCAGGAUCUUGUCAAUAACAAGUGGAUCAAAUUGCUGAUCCAGUUAUUGAUUUGUUCUGAACUACCUGCAUGCCUUUAUCAUUUUGGAGGCAAACAAUCCAUAUAUGUCUACCUGCAGUAUAAUUAGGACAUGUAGAAUUUGAUGUUAUAUAUGAGCCUAGCUCCGAAUGUUAGCUACACUAUUGUUAUGACGUAUGAACCUACAUGAAUGAAUGAAAGUUUGUCUUUGUUAA